AUAAAGUAAAAAAUUUACACUUCAAUUUCGACUUGAAAAUUAAACUUUAAAAAGUUUAUUUAAUU
rnacentral:tRNA from 1 species